rnacentral:lncRNA from 1 species
UUUUUUUUUUUUUCCCAAAUUGAAAUUUCAUUCAUAGUUAAAAUACCAAAUUCAUACAAACUCAUUGGCCCAAACAAACCGGACCUUAAGCCCACAACCAGACACCCUAGAUCAGGAAACCCUAAAACCCGCAGCACACCCACCGACAGCGGCGCUGCCCAAACCCCAACUCACCACCGCACUAGCUUCACGACGCAAGGGAUCUUACCUCGGAAAGCAUCAGCUCCAGCGCGAUCUCGUCCGUAUCCCAAACCGACUGAUCCAAACACCCUUAAACACGAUCUGCGCAGUCACAAGAGAACCGUCUACCAUUGACCCAACACCCCCGACAUUCACGAGUCGUUUCAGGUGAGAGAUCAAGAGGCGGAAGCGCUUUGAAGCUUUGAUUAACAGACUACACAGAAGAAGAAGAGCCAGAAAAAAACCAACAAAAACUAAAGCGAAAAUAAAAGACCAAAGCCGAGAAGAACGAUACUAACUAAGCUACCGCCUUCCGGGAACAGGAGCCGGCGAUGACGGUGCUAAAAGAGCCACCGUCUCCCAGAAACAAAGGCCGGCGGUCGUAGAGCUGAACGAGCCUCUACUCCCCGGAAACUACACCUGAAAUCACGAGCCGUCUGCCGCUACGAGUAACCGUUCUUCACCCCUCA